CUGGAAGCAGAUCGGCGGCCGCGGGGAGGUUCGGGGCGGCGCAGCCCCGCGCGGUUGUGGGAUCGCUCCCGGGGGCCGCUCCUCUCUCGGGCACUGGGGUCGCGGGAGACGUCGUCGGGAGCUCGGUUUCUGGAGGCCCUUCCCCACCCGGCCUCUGCCUCCUCCACUCCCCCGGGCUGGACGGAACGGGGCCCAGCGCGGGAUGCGAGAGGUAUGAUUUCGCUCUGUCGCCCAGGCUGGAGGGCAGUGGCGCAAUCUCGGCUCACUGCAGCCUCGAACUCCUAGGCUGAAGCGAUUCUCCCGCCUCAGCCUCCAAAGUAGCCGGUACUACAGGCGCGCGCCACCACGCCUGGCUAAGAAAUAACCAUGGAUAUGGGUAGAGACAGAGCCAUAUGGAAUGCACACUGCAGUGGUGAACACAUGGCCCAGCUCUGCCAUCAAGGAGAAGGAACAUGAAUGGAGCUGGAGGCCAUCAUCCUUAGUGAACUAACACAGGAGCAGAAAACCAAAUACCACAUGUUCUCAUGUGUAAGUGGGAGCUAAAUGAUGAGAACACAUGGACACAAAGAGGGGAACAACAGACACUGAAGCCUCCUUGAGGGAGGAGGGUAAGAGGAAGGAGAAGAUCAGAAAAGAUAACUACCAGGUACUAUGGUAGCUUAGUACCUGGGUGAUGAAAUAAUCUGUACACCCAACCCUCAUGACAGAAGUUUACCUGUGUAACAAACCUGCACAUGUAUCCCUGAAACUAAAAGUUUUUUAAAAAGUUAUUUAAUAUAUAUAUAUUUUUUUGAGACGGAGUUUUGCUCUUGUUGCCCAGGCUGGAGUGCGGUGGCGCAAUUUCGGCUCACCACAACCUCCGCCUCCCAGGUUCAAGCUAUUCCCCUGCCUCAGCCUCCCUAGUAGCUGGGAUUACAGGCUUGUGCCACCACGCCGGCUAAUUUUGUAUUUUUUGUAGAGACGGGGUUUCUCCAUGUUGGUCAGGCUGGUCUCGAACUCCCGACCUCAGGUGAUCCACCCCCCUCGGCCUCCCAAAGUGCUAGGAUUACAGGCAUGAGCCACUGCGCCCGGCAAAAAGUUAUUUAAUAUUAAUGGGACAAUACUCAUUGCAAGAAUCAGACUUCAAUUGCUAGCAUAAGUAAAUGACAGGCAGGAGAUAUUGAAAAUGCAAUCUUAUAGACAUUCAAGGAGAGGACGCAGGACAUUUCUGUGUCAUAAAUGUACUAUGGAAAAUAAAAAUGAGAAAAAUGGAAAUAAAAUACAAGAAAAGGUUAUGAUAAAUUUCAUAUUAUUUUACCACAAUAAAAAAAUUUUAAUAAAUUAUAAAUGGUGUGAUAUGUUUUGCCUGUGUUCCACCCAAAUCUCAUCUUGAAUUAGAGCUCCCACAAUUCCCACGUGUUGUGGCUGGGACCCUGUGGGAGAUAAUUGAAUCAUGGGGGCAGUUUACCCCAUACUGUUCUCUUGGUGGUGAAUAAGUCUCAUGAGAGUUGAUGGUUUGAUAAGGGGUUUCCCCUUUUGCUUGGCUCUCAUUCUCUCUUGACUGCCACCAUGUAAGAUGUGCCUUUUGCCUUCCACCAUGAUUGUGAAGCCUCCCAGCCACAUGGAACUGUGAGUC
rnacentral:lncRNA from 10 species